GUAAGGAUGUGAGUGUGUGUGCACAAAUGUAUGUGUGUGCAUGCAUGUGUGUGUGUUGUGUUCUUGGAGGUAGGAUAUGUUUUCUUUGUAAAUGUAUAGGGUGUCUAAAUGUGUAUGGUAUUGUAGCGAAUUCAAGGGGUAGCCCCGACCGGGACUCGUACCCAUGUCAAGUGACUGGCAAUAUUUAUUUCUGGUAUUAAAACCUAUUUGUAAUCCAAUGAAAGAUAGUGAAUAGGCCAGGAGAGACUGUAAUCCAAUGAAAGAUAGUGAAUAGGCCAGGAGAGUCUGUAAUCCAAUGAAACACAGUGAAUGGGCCAGGAGAGACUGGAAUCCAAUGAAAGAUAGUGAAUAGGCCAGGAGAGUCUGUAAUCCAAUGAAACACAGUGAAUGGGCCAGGAGAGACUGGAAUCCAAUGAAAGAUAGUGAAUAGGUCAGGAGAGACUGUAAUCCAUUGAAAGAUAGUGAAUAGGCCAGGAGAAACUGUAAUUAAAUCUCGGAAUAUGUUUUAUUUUGCAUUAAUUUAGCAACAAGAGGGAAUGUUUAACAUGCAGAGUAGAUUUGUA
ensembl:lncRNA